UGGGGAAUCUUGCGCAAUGGGCGAAAGCCUGACGCAGCCAUGCCGCGUGAAUGAUGAAGGUCUUAGGAUUGUAAAAUUCUUUCACCGGGGACGAUAAUGACGGUACCCGGAGAAGAAGCCCCGGCUAACUUCGUGCCAGCAGCCGCGGUAAUACGAAGGGGGCUAGCGUUGCUCGGAAUUACUGGGCGUAAAGGGAGCGUAGGCGGAUAGUUUAGUCAGAGGUGAAAGCCCAGGGCUCAACCUUGGAAUUGCCUUUGAUACUGGCUAUCUUGAGUACGGAAGAGGUAUGUGGAACUCCGAGUGUAGAGGUGAAAUUCGUAGAUAUUCGGAAGAACACCAGUGGCGAAGGCGACAUACUGGUCCGUUACUGACGCUGAGGCUCGAAAGCGUGGGGAGCAAACAGG
rnacentral:rRNA from 1 species